GAUGAACGCUAGCUACAGGCUUAACACAUGCAAGUCGAGGGGAAACGGCAUUGAGUGCUUGCACUCUUUGGACGUCGACCGGCGCACGGGUGAGUAACGCGUAUCCAACCUUCCCAUUACUGUGGGAUAACCUGCCGAAAGGCAGACUAAUACCGCAUAGUCUUCGAUGACGGCAUCAGAUUUGAAGUAAAGAUUUAUCGGUAAUGGAUGGGGAUGCGUCUGAUUAGCUUGUUGGCGGGGUAACGGCCCACCAAGGCAACGAUCAGUAGGGGUUCUGAGAGGAAGGUCCCCCACAUUGGAACUGAGACACGGUCCAAACUCCUACGGGAGGCAGCAGUGAGGAAUAUUGGUCAAUGGACGGAAGUCUGAACCAGCCAAGUAGCGUGCAGGAUGACGGCCCUAUGGGUUGUAAACUGCUUUUGUAUGGGGAUAAAGUUAGGGACGUGUUCCUAUUUGCAGGUACCAUACGAAUAAGGACCGGCUAAUUCCGUGCCAGCAGCCGCGGUAAUACGGAAGGUCCAGGCGUUAUCCGGAUUUAUUGGGUUUAAAGGGAGCGUAGGCUGGAGAUUAAGUGUGUUGUGAAAUGUAGACGCUCAACGUCUGAAUUGCAGCGCAUACUGGUUUCCUUGAGUACGCACAACGUUGGCGGAAUUCGUCGUGUAGCGGUGAAAUGCUUAGAUAUGACGAAGAACUCCGAUUGCGAAGGCAGCUGACGGGAGCGCAACUGACGCUUAAGCUCGAAGGUGCGGGUAUCAAACAGG
rnacentral:rRNA from 1 species